rnacentral:piRNA from 1 species
UGAGACCAACGUACCUCAGAGAUGUCGC